AGGCAAACGGGUGGGCCCUCGAAAUCCCUCUUGCGGAGAGAUUCAGUCCGGGAGCCGGAGAGGCGGUGGCGAGUAACGGAGCCUCGAGAAGGACGGUUCUCGCCCCGCGGUCUCCCCGGUGCCCGACGCAUUUACUCCCCGCACUCUGGACGCCGCAAUGGAUCGGGUAGCUGCGAGAGUCGGCCUUGAGGCCGUCCCAGGCAGGUGGCCGGAUCGUCGGCUUCGUGCCGGCUUCCCGGUUAUCACGGGGCGGUCGCGUGGCGCGACACCCGAUCGACGUCGAAGUUCCCCUUACGGGGAACAGUCCGUCUCCGUCUCCUACGAGGCGCGGCGGCCGGGACAGUGAGCGCCGCAUACACGCCGAACCACUCCCCGUAGUGGCCGGCGGUGCGGUGGCCGUCGUUGGUUCCGGUCUGGCCGCGGAGAGACGACGCGGAUUGCGGCGAGUAGGUCGGUCACCCACCCGACCCGUCUUGAAACACGGACCAAGGAGUCUAACAUGUGCGCGAGUCGCAGGGUCUUGAACAGGCCCUCGGGCGCAAUGAAAGUGACGGUUCUCACGGACCGGGUUGGGACUCCCGUCCUGCGGGGCGGGAAGCACCAACGACCCGUCCCUUCCGAUCCGUCGGUGGGGCGGAGUC
rnacentral:rRNA from 1 species